CCUACGGGGGGCAGCAGUGGGGAAUAUUGGACAAUGGGGGGAACCCUGAUCCAGCCAUGCCGCGUGUGUGAAGAAGGCCCUCGGGUUGUAAAGCACUUUCAGUGAGGAAGAACGCCUGGUGGUUAAUACCCAUCAGGAAAGACAUCACUCACAGAAGAAGCACCGGCUAACUCCGUGCCAGCAGCCGCGGUAAUACGGAGGGUGCGAGCGUUAAUCGGAAUUACUGGGCGUAAAGCGCGCGUAGGUGGCUUGAUAAGCCGGUUGUGAAAGCCCCGGGCUCAACCUGGGAACGGCAUCCGGAACUGUCAAGCUAGAGUGCAGGAGAGGAAGGUAGAAUUCCCGGUGUAGCGGUGAAAUGCGUAGAGAUCGGGAGGAAUACCAGUGGCGAAGGAGGCCUUCUGGACUGACACUGACACUGAGGUGCGAAAGCGUGGGUAGCAAACAGGAUUAGAUACCCUUGUAGUC
rnacentral:rRNA from 1 species